AGCUAGGGACGACCCUGCCAAAGCUCAAGGAUUAGCCGGGACGACCCGG
rnacentral:ncRNA from 1 species